rnacentral:rRNA from 1 species
UACGUAGGGUGCGAGCGUUAAUCGGAAUUACUGGGCGUAAAGCGUGCGCAGGCGGCUUUGCAAGACAGAUGUGAUAUCCCCGGGCUCAACCUGGGAACUGCAUUUGUGACUGCAAGGCUAGAGUACGGCAGAGGGGGAUGGAAUUCCGCGUGUAGCAGUGAAAUGCGUAGAUAUGCGGAGGAACACCAAUGGCGAAGGCAAUCCCCUGGGCCUGUACUGACGCUCAUGCACGAAAGCGUGGGGAGCAAACAGG